rnacentral:rRNA from 1 species
UCCGAAGGGGGCUAUCGUUGUUCGGAAUCACUGGGCGUAAAGCGCACGCAGGCGGCUUGAUAAGUCGGGGGUGAAAUCCCGGGGCUUAACCGCGGAAUUGCCUUCGAUACUGUCUGUCUUGAGGUCGGGAGAGGUGGGCGGAAUUCCUAGUGUAGAGGUGAAAUUCGUAGAUAUUAGGAAGAACGCCAGUGGCGAAGGCGGCCCACUGGCCCGAAACUGACGCUCAUGUGCGAAAGCGUGGGGAGCAAACGGG